rnacentral:rRNA from 1 species
GAUGAACGCUGGCGGCGUGCCUAAUACAUGCAAGUCGAGCGAACGGACGAGAAGCUUGCUUCUCUGAUGUUAGCGGCGGACGGGUGAGUAACACGUGGAUAACCUACCUAUAAGACUGGGAUAACUUCGGGAAACCGGAGCUAAUACCGGAUAAUAUUUUGAACCGCAUGGUUCAAAAGUGAAAGACGGUCUUGCUGUCACUUAUAGAUGGAUCCGCGCUGCAUUAGCUAGUUGGUAAGGUAACGGCUUACCAAGGCAACGAUGCAUAGCCGACCUGAGAGGGUGAUCAGCCACACUGGAACUGAGACACGGUCCAGACUCCUACGGGAGGCAGCAGUAGGGAAUCUUCCGCAAUGGGCGAAAGCCUGACGGAGCAACGCCGCGUGAGCGAUGAAGGUCUUCGGAUCGUAAAACUCUGUUAUUAGGGAAGAACAUAUGUGUAAGUAACUGUGCACAUCUUGACGGUACCUAAUCAGAAAGCCACGGCUAACUACGUG